CCCUGCAGCCCCCCGGGCCACGACACCGGCUCGUCUCUCCUGCCAGGACUCACAUUCCGGGGGUGCUUUCACCUGCCGUGCAGGAUGUGACAAUUCCCCAGGUAUUGUGGUCUGCAAGACAGAGCUGCCAAUCCUUUGGUUUCUCAUGAGCAGGCUGAAGCAUUAUCAAAAGAGAGGAGCAGCUGCGAGCUUCACAGAUUGAGCAUACAUCUGAACAUUUAACGGCCCUGGUUUAUCCUGGCUUCAAGGCAUCACAAUAUAAUAUUCACUGACAUGAAAGCUGAAGAAAGGAUGUCAUGGGAAGUCUGAGAGUCACGCUGUGAGAGGAUGCAAAAAACCCAAAAUGGAUGCAUUUUCACUCAGCUGCUUUGAAAGCAAAUGAGGCCAUUGCUGAAAAACUAUGCACAGGACCUGAAAGCUGAAAAAUUCUGAUCCAGAUUUCAAACACCAAGUGCUGAGGGACCACAUGUUCCUAUCUUCGAGGAUUUGUAAUUCCUAACCAGACCUCUUCCAAAAGGUGACAGUCAGGACAGGACAGAGUCAAGAUGGAGCAGGCACAGGGAUGGCACAUCCCCUCUCACCUUCCCCAGGUACUUCCUGGGGGCUACACUCACCUUUGCCAUGGCAAUUCACCCCAGCUGCUGUGCACCUCUGCAGGCUGAGCAGGAGGACAAAGCAGAAGACAAAGGGAAGAAGAACAGAUCACUGCAGAAGGAUCAUGCAGUGUCCUGAAUAAAUGUACAGAUCUCACAGGCUUACCCCUGACCAGGGACUCCUGAGCAGCACAGGAAAUCAUUCCGAGGCUGAACACUGCCAAUCCAGCUCCUAGCAGCUCUGACAGAAUAUUUGAUGCCCACAGAUGGGAAGAAGGACUGAAGGCCACAGCUAAUUGGCUUUGUGAAUUAUUGGGGAACUGUAGAGAGGUGACUGCAGUCAGACAAGAGCCAAUCAAGUUUAAAGUCCACUGAAGAAUUUUCAAAAGUGAUGCAGAGCAAUUGGACACCCCUGAACACGCUGUGGUUUGAUGAUGCAUCAGUUACUUUGCUGAGGGUCCACACCAUUAGAAAAUCCUUCUCCUGCACUGCUAUCACAGAUUCUCCACAAAGAGUGAAAUCUGCUAAAUUUGGUCUUACUUAGCCUAGUUGGACUUCAAAGUCUGUAGAGCUUUAAAAGUGCUACCAUCCCUGCAACACCAAAUCAAUCUCUGUUCUGCCAAUGAAGAGCAGUACCACAAAUAAACAAUUAUAUGUCAAUAGA